rnacentral:rRNA from 1 species
GAUGAACGCUAGCUACAGGCUUAACACAUGCAAGUCGAGGGGCAGCAUGAACUUAGCUUGCUAAGUUUGGUGGCGACCGGCGCACGGGUGAGUAACACGUAUCCAACCUGCCGAUGACUCGGGGAUAGCCUUUCGAAAGAAAGAUUAAUACCCGAUGGCAUAGUUCUUCCGCAUGGUAGAACUAUUAAAGAAUUUCGGUCAUCGAUGGGGAUGCGUUCCAUUAGGUUGUUGGCGGGGUAACGGCCCACCAAGCCUUCGAUGGAUAGGGGUUCUGAGAGGAAGGUCCCCCACAUUGGAACUGAGACACGGUCCAAACUCCUACGGGAGGCAGCAGUGAGGAAUAUUGGUCAAUGGACGAGAGUCUGAACCAGCCAAGUAGCGUGAAGGAUGACUGCCCUAUGGGUUGUAAACUUCUUUUAUACGGGAAUAAAGUGAGGCACGUGUGCCUUUUUGUAUGUACCGUAUGAAUAAGGAUCGGCUAACUCCGUGCCAGCAGCCGCGGUAAUACGGAGGAUCCGAGCGUUAUCCGGAUUUAUUGGGUUUAAAGGGAGCGUAGGCGGACGCUUAAGUCAGUUGUGAAAGUUUGCGGCUCAACCGUAAAAUUGCAGUUGAUACUGGGUGUCUUGAGUACAGUAGAGGCAGGCGGAAUUCGUGGUGUAGCGGUGAAAUGCUUAGAUAUCACGAAGAACUCCGAUUGCGAAGGCAGCCUGCUGGACUGUAACUGACGCUGAUGCUCGAAAGUGUGGGUAUCAAACAGGAUUAGAUACCCUGGUAGUCCACACAGUAAACGAUGAAUACUCGCUGUUUGCGAUAUACAGUAAGCGGCCAAGCGAAAGCGUUAAGUAUUCCACCUGGGGAGUACGCCGGCAACGGUGAAACUCAAAGGAAUUGACGGGGGCCCGCACAAGCGGAGGAACAUGUGGUUUAAUUCGAUGAUACGCGAGGAACCUUACCCGGGCUUGAAUUGCAACUGAAUGAUGUGGAGACAUGUCAGCCGCAAGGCAGUUGUGAAGGUGCUGCAUGGUUGUCGUCAGCUCGUGCCGUGAGGUGUCGGCUUAAGUGCCAUAACGAGCGCAACCCUUAUCGAUAGUUACCAUCAGGUUAUGCUGGGGACUCUGUCGAGACUGCCGUCGUAAGAUGUGAGGAAGGUGGGGAUGACGUCAAAUCAGCACGGCCCUUACGUCCGGGGCUACACACGUGUUACAAUGGGGGGUACAGAAGGCAGCUACACGGCGACGUGAUGCUAAUCCCGAAAGCCUCUCUCAGUUCGGAUUGGAGUCUGCAACCCGACUCCAUGAAGCUGGAUUCGCUAGUAAUCGCGCAUCAGCCACGGCGCGGUGAAUACGUUCCCGGGCCU